GACGAACGCUGGCGGCGUGCCUAAUACAUGCAAGUCGAGCGCAGGAAACUGACGGAACUCUUCGGAGGGAAGGCAGUGGAAUGAGCGGCGGACGGGUGAGUAACACGUAAGGAACCUGCCUCAAGGAUUGGGAUAACUCCGGGAGAUCGGAGCUAAUACCGGAUAGUUCAACGGACCGCAUGGUCCGCUGAUGAAAGGCGCUUCGGCGUCACCUUGAGAUGGCCUUGCGGUGCAUUAGCUAGUUGGUGGGGUAACGGCCCACCAAGGCGACGAAGCAUAGCCGACCUGAGAGGGUGAUCGGCCACACCGGGACUGAGACACGGCCCAGACUCCUACGGGAGGCAGCAGUAGGGAAUCUUCCACAAUGGACGAAAGUCUGAUGGAGCAACGCCGCGUGAGUGAUGAAGGUUUUCGGAUCGUAAAACUCUGUUGUAAGGGAAGAACACGUACGAGAGGGAAUGCUCGUACCUUGACGGUACCUUACGAGAAAGCCACGGCUAACUACGUGCCAGCCGCCGCGGUAA
rnacentral:rRNA from 1 species